rnacentral:rRNA from 1 species
AUGGACCACACCGAGUUCGCCGUAUCGCCCUUCAUCGUGGCCACCGAGACCGACGGCGGCCUCGUCCUCCUAUGCGUCGUCCCCGGUAAGCGUCCAACCGAUGCCCAGCUUCUCCGAAAUCGCCAAUACUUCGUCUACGACGCCUGCUACUGCCAACUUUACCACCUCCCGCACCCUGGCCCACAACACGAAAUCAACGGCUUCUCGCUCGCCAUCAUGCGCGAGCCCAACAAAGGCACCGGCACCGGCAACCUACGCCCCCAUGGACAGGCAGAGUUCGGUCACUUCGUCGUUGCCGCACAAGCUCACUUAUUCUGGGGUAAAAAAUCUCCUCAGCUCUGCAUCUAUCACUCUGCUACCAAGACCUGGAGCAAGAAGCCGGUGGUGAUAGAUUCAUCUCCACAAAAACACUCUACAACCAAGACAUUCACCAUUGGAGGACCCAAGGGCACCGUGGCCUGGGUGGAUCUCUGGCGCAACAUCAUCUUCUGCGACGUGCUCGCCGGACGCCCCACGCUCAGCUGCCUGAAUCUGCCACCGCCCCUCAGGCCCCGCCCCAACGUGGGCGCUGGCAAUCCAAGGUCUCAUCGCAACAUUGCGGUCCUUGGCAACACCAUCAAGUAUGUCGAGAUGCUGCCUCACCCCGACAGAAGCUCCUCUACGCCCCCCUCCCAUCGUUGGGAGGUCGCGGCAUGGAGCAUCCAGAAGGCAAAUCGGUCCUGGCCCGAGGACUGGCACACCGAAGGCAACCUCGAUUCCACCCAUAUAAAGGUUGAUUCUGGUACCACAGCGGCUACCCUCCCAACCUUGUCGACUCUCCACGUUGGCCUGCCCACCCUCAGCCUGCAGAAUGAUGCCAUUUUUCACUUCCUCGCCAAGAUUGACUACCGCCAAAGCGAACACACAGCUUGGGUGCUUGCUGUUGACAUGCAGACCAAGACUAUCACGCAAGCGGCCGAGUUUCGCGCCGAGAGGACUCUUGGUUUAGCCUGGGGCUUCGACGCAAGUAGCAUCUCGGCAUAUCUCCAAACUGCUCCAGGUACACAGCAAAUACCUAAACGACCAGGGGUGCCGUUGCUGAAAUCACCUAGCAAGAAGCAUACUGGAGAUGUUGACGCCAUGGUGGCGUGA